CCUACGGGUGGCAGCAGUAGGGAAUAUUGCUCAAUGGGGGAAACCCUGAAGCAGCAACGCCGCGUGGAGGAUGAAGGUUUUCGGAUUGUAAACUCCUUUUGUUAGAGAAGAUAAUGACGGUAUCUAACGAAUAAGCACCGGCUAACUCCGUGCAAGCAGCCGCGGUAAUACGGAGGGUGCAAGAGUUACUCGGAAUCACUGGGCGUAAAGAGCGCGUAGGCGGGAUAGCAAGUCAGAUGUGAAAUCCUAUGGCUUAACCAUAGAACUGCAUUUGAAACUGUUAUUCUAGAGUAUGGGAGAGGUAGGUGGAAUUCUUGGUGUAGGGGUAAAAUGCGUAGAGAUCAAGAGGAAUACUCAUUGCGAAGGCGACCUGCUAGAACAUAACUGACGCUGAUGCGCGAAAGCGUGGGGAGCAAACAGGAUUAGAUACCCCAGUAGUC
rnacentral:rRNA from 1 species